rnacentral:RNase_P_RNA from 1 species
CGAGUCAGCCAGGCGGCCGCGUCAGGGCCCUCGUGGUCCUGCCGAGGAACGUCCGGGCUCCGCAGGGCAGGGUGGUGGGUAACGCCCACCCGGGGUGACCCGCGGGAAAGUGCCACAGAGAACAGACCGCCACGUCGCACCUCGGUGCGGCGGGGUAAGGGUGAAACGGUGGUGCAAGAGACCACCAGCGCACCGGGUGACCGGUGCGGCUAGGCAAACCCCACCCGGAGCAAGGCCAGACAGGGAGCGUCCGAGGGCUGCCCGCCCGAGCUCCCGGGUAGGCCGCUGGAGGCGUGCGGCGACGCACGUCGUAGAUGGAUGGUCGCCACCCGCGCGCGGGCAACCGCGCACGGGGACAGAACCCGGCGUACCGGCUGACUCGUCCG